ACCGCCCCACCCCCACCGCAAAGACCGGAGAAGCCGCGCCUCCGGAAAAGGUUUUGCGACGGCGCGUGGGGCUCAAGUGCGGUCAUGCUCCGCGGCGUGAUUCUGCAACGGCGGACGUGCGCAGGAUGGGCUGUUCCGUUUCCGGCCUGACCCGGUUUCCCUCGCUUCAACGGGUAGCCUACGACACCCCUCUACAGGGGGGCAGGCCACACCGACACACAGCCAAGCAGAGCACCGCGUCAACGCAGCGCGCCACCCUCGCUGGUCCACGACACCCCCGCUCCACCUAGGAAGCCCCCGAAGGUUACAGAGCAACGCUCCGGCUUGCAAAGCGCUGCACCGUCUAGAAGACAUUGAGUAUCUUGUUUGAAAGUACUUUUUCAGAAGAGAAUAAACCUCUCAAGCCUCUCUCCACUCCCGCAAGUCCGUGUGGCUCAAUGGAAGAGCAUCUGACUACGGAUCAGAGGGUUGCAGGUUCGAAUCCUGUCACGGAUGGCUUUUUCGCCGCCGGCGAACGAGGUCGACCACCUUUCGAAGAGGACACCACUUGGAA